AUAUGAUGAUUGCCCUCACAGGGGCCCCAACUGGUAACUAGGCAAAUCCUUUCCUGCUGGUCCACAAAAUUGCCAGUAGAUGGCGCGCCGACCUCGUCCCCUGGUUGAUGCUCCUCCUGCUCUUCUCUCAGCUCUGACUCUCAGAAGCCCCUCAUUGAACAGACUCACCAGGGCUAGGUGUGAGCUUCUCUUCAGCAUCCCCAGGCGAGUGCAGAAGAUGGACCGGGCCAUUGCUGCUCAGGGUAAUGAGAUGGUAUUCUCCCCACUGGACAGACAUCAUGGGGGUUCCUUCAUGAUGGAGUGACCGGCCAAGAGAAGCUUGCUAUUGGCACAGGAGCCUCGGAGCUUCAGGGACACCAGACCAGACCCAGUGUUGUGGAAGGAACAUGCUGUGGGCCCUUCGGGAACAUUUGACUCAGAGAAGACUUCUAUGGCACCUGGGUGGACGCUCACUUGCUGACCACGAGAGUUCAGAGCUGGCAGGGCAUGCUUUGAAAGGUGUGCCGGGUCUCCUGGGAUGCGUCCUCACGGUGACAACAGUGAUGAAUGCUGAUCAACCUUGCAGUGUACAUUGCUCUCGGAGACCACCUACUGUAUGCCAGCCACACGUGGGGAAAUGGGAACAGAGGGGCCAAGCCGCUUGCCUGACUCACUCGUCUAGGGAACCAGGGAGAAUCAACUCCCAGGUCUCAGUGUGAGGUCACCAUACUAUGUCAACUAGAAACGACCACGGCAGUAGUUGAGCAACUCUGGCUGUUUCUGGCUUCUGAUGUGAAAACUAGUGCAAUUUCUACUUGGGAUUUGGUCAAUGGCUUUCAUGUUCCUCUUGUGCCCAAGCGGCUUCAAGGGGAAGCAUAGUGUAUUAGUCCCCCCCCCCCUUUUGUUCCUGUGAUAAAACACUGUGACCGACUUAGAGGAGGAAAGCUUUUAUCUGAGUUCACAGUUUUUCGGGGAUCUAGCCCAUCAUGGAGGAGAAAGGACGACAGCAGGAGGGGGAGCUUACCUGGCAGUGAGAAAGCAGAGCGGUUUCAUCUAAACACAGGAAGCAGAGAGAGAGAAAAGAGGGAGUGAGGUCAGGCUGUACACCCUCAAAUCCUACCCAGCUGACACUUCCUCCAGCAUGGCUUCCCCUCCCCUCCUUCUUGCCCCCUCCCCCGCAAAGGCUCCAUAACCUUCCCAAACAGCACCACUGACCAGGGACAAAGUGUUCAAACACAUCAGCCUAUGGGAGGAGGUAGCUUUUCAAACCAUCAUGUGUGCUCUGCCUCCUGGACCCUGCCCCGACUGACUUGACCAGCCUUGCCUCCCAUCACUCCCCUGUGCCCUGACCACAGGAGACAUCUCACCUACCAAGUGAGAUAACUGUGUGUGUCCUUAGGAAAGAGAGGUACAGAGAUGGAAGCGCUAAUAUUGUCCUGAGUGUCCAGUCCCAGGAAGGGAGGAGAGAGUGACGACAGGUGAGGAGGGAGAAGGAGAGCAUCAGGAGAGCAUCAGGAGUGUCCUGCAUGGUCACCAGCUCAGCUGGCUGCCCACUCUGCAAGGCUUUGGCAGAGAGCUUCACAGUCCAGAUGAGGAAGGGAGAAGAAUGCACCAUCUGACUCUGUCUUUCCGUGGUUGCAGGUCAUCCCCACACUGUGUCAAUGUCCCUGUCCUUCUUAGUGGUUCCUCUUGGCCUUGAGAUGUCACCAGGAAGCAGCUCCCAAGCCAUCAUUAGCAGCAUCUGCAACCAAGGCAAGGUAUACUGGGAGAACCAACGUGCCCUGUGAGCAGCCCAAGUCCCCCAGUUCUAAUGGAAUGAGCUAGGUGCUGGGCAUGUGUGGGAUGGUCUUGGGCAAGGAAUACUAUUUGUGACAGAAGAUACUAGAAAUAGUAUCUAUGCAUGCCAAAAAGCAAGACCAGUGUGCAGGUCCUGGCUGGUCCAAGAAUUGUACUUGAAAUUCCCAUCAUACUUGUGCUUGAAAUUCCCAUGAUACAUCAGUCUUUUAUUUGCCUGUUAAAAUCACCAUAUAUGUAUCAUUCCUCCAUCCAUUAUUAAAUAUGUCCCCUUCUCCAGGCUCUUUGGAUACAGUGAUGACUUAGACACUCCCUGGGUAGCUGUCAGUCUCCCAGACAAGCAGACCCACUAAAAGUGACAUGACACAAUGUGACAGACAGACUCAGUCAUAGAAUUAUACCUAGCAUACAGAGAGACUACCAGGGAACGACACUAUUUGGAGCAACAACAAAGAUCCCCAAAGGAGCAUAGUUUAGGAUAAAGUUUGAUUGUUUUCUGCAGGAUUUCAUGAGAAACAUGGCUUUUCUUUUUCAUGAGACCCACGUUUCCCCCAUCCCUAGCCUGUGGCUUUUUCCUCAUCAUCUAAGCUGGCGGCACCGCUCCACAUGGCUUGGUGGAAGAAGGGAUAGGGAAGAGGCAGCGGACACACUAUGGUCCUCUGAAGAGGAUCCUGGAAGGCUGCAAUAAGUUGACCCUUUUAUGUAUACUGCACUGGUCAGACGGGAGCCGCAGCAGAGAGCUGGCAGUGCACUUCUUCUCUUGACCAUUUACCCGGCUGGCAAUUAUGUCACCUUGAGAAGAGACAGCCAACAGCCUCUGCCACAGACUCACAACACGAU